rnacentral:rRNA from 1 species
GACAAACGCUGGCGGGGUGCGUGAGACAUGCAAGUCGAACGAGGAGCCUCCGAGCUUGCUUGGAGGUUUCCUAGUGGCGGACGGCUGAGUAACGCGUAGGUGACCUACCCGGAAGUGGGGAAUAACUGCCCGAAAGGGUGGCUAAUACCGCAUGUGGUCGGCGAUUCGAUUCGCCGUCCAAAGGAGAAAUCCGCUUCCGGCGGGGCCUGCGUCCGAUUAGCUAGUUGGUGGGGUAACGGCUCACCAAGGC